rnacentral:rRNA from 1 species
AGUGAACGCUGGCGGCGUGCCUAAUACAUGCAAGUCGAACGGAGCGGCGCACGGGUGAGUAAUAUAUAGCUAAUCUGCCCCUUGCUGGAGGACAACAGUUAGAAAUGACUGCCAAUACUCCAUAGCAAGGGAUGUGACUAUAUCGUAUUAGCUAGUCGGUGGGGUAACGGCCUACCGAGGCUAUGACGCGUAACUUGUCUGCGAGGAUGAUCAGUCACAUUGGAAGUGAGGCACGAUCCAGGCACCUGCGGGAGGGAGCGGAAGGGUGUAUUGCGCAAUGGGGGUGACCCUAGCGCGGCAACGCCGCGUAAAGGAUUACACUUUUCGAAGCAUAAGCUCCUUUUGUUAGGGAAGCGGUACCUAACGAAUAAGCACCGGCUAACUCCGUGCCAGCAGCCGCGGUAAUAC